AGCAGCCGCGGUAAUUCCAGCUCCAAUAGCGUAUAUUAAAGUUGUUGCAGUUAAAAAGCUCGUAGUUGAAUUUCGGGAUUUGUCAGUUGGUCGGGCUUCACUGUCCGUAUUGACUUGAUGGAUUCUUACCUUCUGAAUAACCAGCAUGCUAUUAAGUUAGUGCGUUGGGGAAGCAGAUCUAUUACCUUGAAAAAAUUAGAGUGCUUAAAGCGAGCUAGUGCUUGAAUAGAUUAGCAUGGAAUAAUAAAAUAGGACGGCAUGGUUCUAUUUUGUUGGUUUCUAGGAUCACCGUAAUGAUUAAUAGGGAUAGUUGGGGGCAUUAGUAUUCAAUUGUCAGAGGUGAAAUUCUUGGAUUUAUUGAAGACUAACUUCUGCGAAAGCAUUUUGCCAAGGAUGUUUUCAUUAAUCAAGAACGAAAGUUAGGGGAUCGAAGACGAUCAGAUACCGUCGUAGUCUUAACCAUAAACUAUGCCGACUAGGAAUCGGACGAUGUUAAUUUUAUAAUGACUCGUUCGGCACC
rnacentral:rRNA from 1 species